rnacentral:rRNA from 1 species
AUGAACGCUAGCUACAGGCUUAACACAUGCAAGUCGAGGGGCAGCAUGGUCUUAGCUUGCUAAGGCCGAUGGCGACCGGCGCACGGGUGAGUAACACGUAUCCAACCUGCCGUCUACUCUUGGACAGCCUUCUGAAAGGAAGAUUAAUACAAGAUGGCAUCAUGAGUCCACAUGUUCACAUGAUUAAAGGUAUUCCGGUAGACGAUGGGGAUGCGUUCCAUUAGAUAGUAGGCGGGGUAACGGCCCACCUAGUCUUCGAUGGAUAGGGGUUCUGAGAGGAAGGUCCCCCACAUUGGAACUGAGACACGGUCCAAACUCCUACGGGAGGCAGCAGUGAGGAAUAUUGGUCAAUGGGCGAGAGCCUGAACCAGCCAAGUAGCGUGAAGGAUGACUGCCCUAUGGGUUGUAAACUUCUUUUAUAAAGGAAUAAAGUCGGGUAUGCAUACCCGUUUGCAUGUACUUUAUGAAUAAGGAUCGGCUAACUCCGUGCCAGCAGCCGCGGUAAUACGGAGGAUCCGAGCGUUAUCCGGAUUUAUUGGGUUUAAAGGGAGCGUAGAUGGAUGUUUAAGUCAGUUGUGAAAGUUUGCGGCUCAACCGUAAAAUUGCAGUUGAUACUGGAUAUCUUGAGUGCAGUUGAGGCAGGCGGAAUUCGUGGUGUAGCGGUGAAAUGCUUAGAUAUCACGAAGAACUCCGAUUGCGAAGGCAGCCUGCUAAGCUGCAACUGACAUUGAGGCUCGAAAGUGUGGGUAUCAAACAGGAUUAGAUACCCUGGUAGUCCACGCCGUAAACGAUGAGUGCUAAGUGUUAGGGGGUUUCCGCCCCUUAGUGCUGCAGCUAACGCAUUAAGCACUCCGCCUGGGGAGUACGACCGCAAGGUUGAAACUCAAAGGAAUUGACGGGGGCCCGCACAAGCGGAGGAACAUGUGGUUUAAUUCGAUGAUACGCGAGGAACCUUACCCGGGCUUAAAUUGCAGAUGAAUUACGGUGAAAGCCGUAAGCCGCAAGGCAUCUGUGAAGGUGCUGCAUGGUUGUCGUCAGCUCGUGCCGUGAGGUGUCGGCUUAAGUGCCAUAACGAGCGCAACCCUUGUUGUCAGUUACUAACAGGUUCUGCUGAGGACUCUGACAAGACUGCCAUCGUAAGAUGUGAGGAAGGUGGGGAUGACGUCAAAUCAGCACGGCCCUUACGUCCGGGGCUACACACGUGUUACAAUGGGGGGUACAGAGGGCCGCUACCACGCGAGUGGAUGCCAAUCCCCAAAACCUCUCUCAGUUCGGACUGGAGUCUGCAACCCGACUCCACGAAGCUGGAUUCGCUAGUAAUCGCGCAUCAGCCACGGCGCGGUGAAUACGUUCCCGGGCCUUGUACACACCGCCCGUCAAGCCAUGGGAGCCGGGGGUACCUGAAGUGCGUAACCGCGAGGAGCGCCCUAGGGUAAAACUGGUGACUGGGGCU